UACGUAGGGGGCAAGCGUUAUCCGGAUUUACUGGGUGUAAAGGGAGCGUAGACGGCAGCGCAAGUCUGGAGUGAAGUGCCGGGGCCCAACCCCGGAACUGCUUUGGAAACUGUGCAGCUCGAGUGCAGGAGAGGUAAGCGGAAUUCCUAGUGUAGCGGUGAAAUGCGUAGAUAUUAGGAGGAACACCAGUGGCGAAGGCGGAUUGCUGGACAGUAACUGACGCUGAGGCGCGAAAGCGUGGGGAGCAAACAGG
rnacentral:rRNA from 1 species